UAGGGAAUCUUCGGCAAUGGACGAAAGUCUGACCGAGCAACGCCGCGUGAGUGAAGAAGGUUUUCGGAUCGUAAAACUCUGUUGUUAGAGAAGAACAAGGACGUUAGUAACUGAACGUCCCCUGACGGUAUCUAACCAGAAAGCCACGGCUAACUACGUGCCAGCAGCCGCGGUAAUACGUAGGUGGCAAGCGUUGUCCGGAUUUAUUGGGCGUAAAGCGAGCGCAGGCGGUUUCUUAAGUCUGAUGUGAAAGCCCCCGGCUCAACCGGGGAGGGUCAUUGGAAACUGGGAGACUUGAGUGCAGAAGAGGAGAGUGGAAUUCCAUGUGUAGCGGUGAAAUGCGUAGAUAUAUGGAGGAACACCAGUGGCGAAGGCGGCUCUCUGGUAUGUAACUGACGCUGAGGCUCGAAAGCGUGGGGAGCAAACAGG
rnacentral:rRNA from 1 species